CUUGUCGCCAUGGCUGGCCGGUAGCCGCGCCGGCCUUGGGAGCGAGCGGCGACGGGCGGCUGAGGUCCCCAUCACCGUCGCCAUCUUCCCCCAGUUCCAGUGAUCCAAAUCAAGCCCUCUGUAUGUUUGGAUCAGAGGAUCGAUGGGAUAUUCAACAUGGCUCACAACGAUUGUUCAGAAUCUAUGAUGAAUUAACCAGGUAUUUUGUGGGCUCGGUUGAUUCCUUAACCAGUCAAUAUUUGUCGCCUGAUGUGUUUGUAGCAGCCAACACGCUUCCCUUCCACUUCCCCAGGCUGCAAUAGAAGAUUAAUCCAUCAAGGAGGAGCAGCUUUGAAGCGCCUUGGCCUACCCUACUUGUUGUUCACUGGUGCGCUCCUGCAUGAG